rnacentral:rRNA from 1 species
AGAGGCCUACGGGACGCAGCAGUAGGGAAUCUUCCACAAUGGACGAAAGUCUGAUGGAGCAACGCCGCGUGAGUGAAGAAGGGUUUCGGCUCGUAAAGCUCUGUUGGUAGUGGAGAAAGAUAGAGGGAGUAGCUGGCCUUUUUUUGACGGUAAUUACUUAGAAAGUUACGGCUAACUACGUGCCAGCAGCCGCGGUAAUACGUAGGGGGCAAGCGUUGUCCGGAUUUAUUGGGCGUAAAACGAGUGCAGUCGGGUCCA